rnacentral:rRNA from 1 species
UACGUAGGGUGCAAGCGUUGUCCGGAAUUAUUGGGCGUAAAGAGCGCGCAGGCGGUCGUGCAAGUCGCGUGUGAAAGCCCCCGGCUCAACUGGGGAGGGUCACGCGAUACUGCUCGACUCGAAGGCAGGAGAGGGAAGUGGAAUUCCCGGUGUAGUGGUGAAAUGCGUAGAUAUCGGGAGGAACACCAGUGGCGAAGGCGACUUCCUGGCCUAUUCUUGACGCUGAGGCGCGAAAGCUAGGGUAGCAAACGGG